rnacentral:rRNA from 1 species
UCGGGAAUUUUGCUCAAUGGGGGAAACCCUGAAGCAGCAACGCCGCGUGAGGGAUGAAGGCCUUCGGGUUGUAAACCUCUUUUUCAGGGACGCGGUACCUGAAGAAUAAGUCACGGCUAACUACGUGCCAGCAGCCGCGGUAAUACGUAGGUGACCAGCGUUGUCCGGAUUUACUGGGCGUAAAGAGCGCGCAGGCGGUCCUUCAAGUCGAGUGUGAAAGCCCCCGGCUCAACUGGGGAGGGUCAUUCGAUACUGAUGGACUCGAAGGCAGGAGAGGGAAGCGGAAUUCCCGGUGUAGUGGUGAAAUGCGUAGAUAUCGGGAGGAACACCAGUGGCGAAGGCGGCUUCCUGGCCUGUUCUUGACGCUAAGGCGCGAAAGCUA